rnacentral:rRNA from 1 species
CACUGGUAGGCAGGGUGAGAAUCCCAAGGCGCUUGAGAGAACUCGGGUGAAGGAACUAGGCAAAAUGGCACCGUAACUUCGGGAGAAGGUGCGCCCUUUGGUGUGGUCACGUGCGUGACUGAGCAUCGAAGGGUCGCAGUAACCUGGCCGCUGCGACUGUUUAUCAAAAACACAGCACUCUGCAAACACGAAAGUGGACGUAUAGGGUGUGACGCCUGCCCGGUGCUGGAAGGUUAAUUGAUGGGGUCAGCCGCAAGGCGAAGCUCUUGAUCGAAGCCCCAGUAAACGGCGGCCGUAACAAUAACGGUCCUAAGGUAGCGAAAUUCCUUGUCGGGUAAGUUCCGACCUGCACGAAUGGCGUAACGACAGCGGCGCUGUCUCCACCCGAGACUCAGUGAAAUUGAAAUCGCUGUGAAGAUGCAGCGUUCCCGCGGCAAGACGGAAAGACCCCGUGAACCUUUACUAUAGCUUUACAUUGAACGUUGAGUUCUUCUGUGUAGGAUAGGUGGAGGCUAUGAAACCGAGACGCUAGUUUCGGUGGAGCCAUCCUUGAAAUACCACCCUGAAGUGCUUGACGUUCUAACCUAGGUCCGUAAUCCGGAUCGGGGACCAUGUAUGGUGGGUAGUUUGACUGGGGCGGUCUCCUCCCAAAGAGUAACGGAGGAGCACGAAGGUACGCUCAGCGCGGUCGGACAUCGCGCACUGUGUGCAAAGGCAUAAGCGUGCUUGACUGCGAGAUCGACGGAUCAAGCAGGUACGAAAGUAGGUCUUAGUGAUCCGGUGGUUCUGUAUGGAAGGGCCAUCGCUCAACGGAUAAAAGGUACUCCGGGGAUAACAGGCUGAUACCGCCCAAGAGUUCAUAUCGACGGCGGUGUUUGGCACCUCGAUGUCGGCUCAUCACAUCCUGGGGCUGUAGCCGGUCCCAAGGGUAUGGCUGUUCGCCAUUUAAAGUGGUACGCGAGCUGGGUUCAGAACGUCGUGAGACAGUUCGGUCCCUAUCUGUCGUGGGCGUUGGAGAUUUGAGGGGGGCUGCUCCUAGUACGAGAGGACCGGAGUGGACGUUCCGCUGGUGUUCGGGUUGUCAUGCCCAUGGCAUUGCCCGGUAGCUACGAACGGAAGUGAUAACCGCUGAAAGCAUCUAAGCGGGAAGCACGCCCCAAGAUGAGAUCUCCCGAGAGCUAGACUCUCCUUAAGGCACCAUCAAGACUAGGUGGUUGAUAGGCGCGGUGUGGAAGUGCAGCAAUGCAUUGAGCUUACGCGUACUAAUGAGCCGUGAGGCUUGACCG